ACCUUAUCCAGAGUGGUGGAGGGAUUGGCCCUUCGAAGCCACAGCAACCGGUCCCAUCGUUAAGGUGGGGUGCUGGUGCUAAUUCCCACCUCGCCUAGGGCGGGGGAAGAUAAGGU
rnacentral:ncRNA from 2 species